AUCAGCUGGGGACUGAAGUGUCCGGAGCCGCCUGGAGCAUGCGCCGUGUUGCGCAACACACGUGCCAUUAAUUAGUUUUUGCUUUACCGUUUGCCUGCUGAGAAACCACAGGUGUUUCCUAUUAAUCAAAUGAGACUGGGAGGUACGAUGGGAGGAGCUACCAGGAUAUAAGAAGAGAACCACGAGAAGGAAAAGAUUAUUGCGAGAGGUCAUUGAGAGAGGUUAUAGCGAGAGGAGCAGAGAGAAGGUCAGGGAAGUAAGAAAGUCAGGGAAAAGAAAGUUAUGUAAAAGUAGUAAAAGGAAAAAUAAAGAAGUAAACGCUAGCGUCAAGUCGUCAAGCCCCUCAUUUCAAUCCUCAGCCCUUCUCUUCCCGUGCCUCUGAACCCCGCGGGUCGGGACACUGAAGGACAUGAAAAUUAAACUCAUUUUUCAGGUAUACACAAGGUGGUUAAUAAUUUCUCCUUAUGGUACUUCGAAGGAUAAAAUGAACUAAUAGAAGAAAGUGUUCAUCUGGAUUCCUGGUGGCAUGCCGUUAAUAUUUAAAGGAAUUAUUAUGCUUGGAUGAGUAUGCUAUUAAAGGCCUCCCUGGUGGUGCAGUGGAUUGAGCGCAGCGCUGUGAAGCAGUCUGCAGCCUC